rnacentral:rRNA from 1 species
GGAAUAUUGGUCAAUGGAUGCAAGUCUGAGCCAGCCAUGCCGCGUGCAGGAAGAAGGCCUUCUGGGUUGUAAACUGCUUUUGCCAGGGGAUAAAAUGGGCGUGCGCGCGUAAUUGAAGGUACAUGGUGAAUAAGCCACGGCUAACUCCGUGCCAGCAGCCGCGGUAAGACGUAGGUGGCAAGCGUUGUCCGGAUUUAUUGGGUUUAAAGGGUGAGUAGGCGGUCCCUUAAGUCAGUGCUGAAAUACUCCAGCUUAACUGGAGGGGUGGCAUUGAUACUGGGGGACUUGAAUGAAGUCGAGGUAGGCGGAAUUGACGGUGUAGCGGUGAAAUGCUUAGAUAUCGUCAAGAACACCGAUAGUGAAGACAGCUUACUAGGCUUAUAUUGACGCUGAGGCACGAAAGUGUGGGGAUCAAA